rnacentral:misc_RNA from 1 species
GAUGAAGAACGUAGCGAAAUGCGAUAAGUAAUGUGAAUUGCAGAAUUCAGUGAAUCAUCGAAUUUUUGAACGCACAUUGCGCCCGCCAGUAUUCUGGCGGGCAUGCCUGUUCGAGCGUCAUUACAACCCUCAGGCCCCCGGGCCUGGCGUUGGGGAUCGGCGGAAGCCCCCUGCGGGCACAACGCCGUCCCCCAAAUACAGUGGCGGUCCCGCCGCAGCUUCCAUUGCGUAGUAGCUAACACCUCGCAACUGGAGAGCGGCGCGGCCACGCCGUAAAACACCCAACUUCUGAAUGUUGACCUCGAAUCAGGUAGGAAUACCCGCUGAACUUAAGCAUAUCAAUAAGCGGAGGA